GACGAACGCUGGCGGCGUGCUUAACACAUGCAAGUCGAACGAAGUGGCGAACGGGAGAGUAAUACGUGGGUAACCUGCCCUCCUUUUUGGGGUAAGCCUUGGAACCGGGGUCUAAUACCGAAUGAAGGGGGAUGGUCUCGUGGCCUAUCGGCUUGUUGGUGGGGAGAUGGCCUACCAGUGCGGUGACGGGUAGCCGGCUUGAUAGGGUACCCGUCCACAUUGGUACGGUGAUGCGGCCCAGGCUCCUACGGGAGGAAGCAGUGGGUGAUAUUGGACAAUGGGCGAACGCCUGAUGCAGCGACGCCGCGUAGGGGAUUAAGGCUUUCGGGUUGUAAACCUCUUUCGCUAGCGAACCGGUACGUGCAGAAGAAGCGCCGGCUAACUACGUGCCAGCCGCCGCGGUAAUUC
rnacentral:rRNA from 1 species